CACUGGACUGAGACACGGUCCAGACUCCUACGGGAGGCAGCAGUGGGGAAUAUUGCACAAUGGGCGCAAGCCUGAUGCAGCCAUGCCGCGUGUGUGAAGAAGGCCUUCGGGUUGUAAAGCACUUUCAGUCGUGAGGAAGGUAGUGUAGUUAAUAGCUGCAUUAUUUGACGUUAGCGACAGAAGAAGCACCGGCUAACUCCGUGCCAGCAGCCGCGGUAAUACGGAGGGUGCGAGCGUUAAUCGGAAUUACUGGGCGUAAAGCGCAUGCAGGUGGUUUGUUAAGUCAGAUGUGAAAGCCCGGGGCUCAACCUCGGAAUAGCAUUUGAAACUGGCAGACUAGAGUACUGUAGAGGGGGGUAGAAUUUCAGGUGUAGCGGUGAAAUGCGUAGAGAUCUGAAGGAAUACCGGUGGCGAAGGCGGCCCCCUGGACAGAUACUGACACUCAGAUGCGAAAGCGUGGGGAGCAAACAGGAUUAGAUACCCUGGUAGUCCACGCCGUAAACGAUGUCUACUUGGAGGUUGUGGCCUUGAGCCGUGGCUUUCGGAGCUAACGCGUUAAGUAGACCGCCUGGGGAGUACGGUCGCAAGAUUAAAACUCAAAUGAAUUGACGGGGGCCCGCACAAGCGGUGGAGCAUGUGGUUUAAUUCGAUGCAACGCGAAGAACCUUACCUACUCU
rnacentral:rRNA from 1 species